AGGACGAACGCUGGCGGCGUGCUUAACACAUGCAAGUCGAACGGUAAGGCCCUUCGGGGUACACGAGUGGCGAACGGGUGAGUAACACGUGGGUGAUCUGCCCUGCACUUCGGGAUAAGCUUGGGAAACUGGGUCUAAUACCGGAUAUGACUACGAAUCGCAUGGUUUGUGGUGGAAAGCUUUUGCGGUGUGGGAUGGGCCCGCGGCCUAUCAGCUUGUUGGUGGGGUGAUGGCCUACCAAGGCGACGACGGGUAGCCGGCCUGAGAGGGUGUCCGGCCACACUGGGACUGAGAUACGGCCCAGACUCCUACGGGAGGCAGCAGUGGGGAAUAUUGCACAAUGGGCGCAAGCCUGAUGCAGCGACGCCGCGUGAGGGAUGACGGCCUUCGGGUUGUAACCUCUUUCAGUAUCGACGAAGCGCAAGUGACGGUAGGUACAGAAGAAGGACCGGCCAACGUACGCGCCAGCAGCCGCGGUAA
rnacentral:rRNA from 1 species